UACGGAGGGUGCGAGCGUUGUCCGGAAUCAUUGGGCGUAAAGAGCGCGUAGGCGGUCCGGUAAGUCCGCUCUGAAAGCCCGGGGCUCAACCCCGGGAGGCGGGCGGAUACUGUCGGGCUAGAGUCCGGAAGAGGCGAGUGGAAUUCCUGGUGUAGCGGUGAAAUGCGCAGAUAUCAGGAGGAACACCGAUGGCGAAGGCAGCUCGCUGGGACGGUACUGACGCUGAGGCGCGAAAGCGUGGGGAGCAAACAGG
rnacentral:rRNA from 1 species